CUGGCUCUGCCCGCUCUGGCUGAGUGGCCCUUCCCAGCCCUGGUAGAACAGGGUGAUAUGGGGCCACGGUGGGCACCCUAUGGCAGCUGGAGCUCCUUUCCCUCAGGCCUCCUGAGUUCCUUAUGAACCUAGUGCUCAGUUGGUGCCAGGCUUUGUCCCCAGCACAAUGACAUAAACUAUUAACUUACCGAACGCUGACCGCACCAUGAUGAGAUGAGAACCUGCAGGACACACUCUGAACCCCGAGCACUGCUGAAGAGUGGACCCGGGAGGGAGGCUUUCCUGUCACCUGACUCAGUGGAGGCAGAGAGGACUACAGGUGGGCCCAGGUCCCACAGGCAUUCUAAGUCAUCGGGAGGUGAUUUAAAGCACACAGGAGGACGGCGGGGGCUGAAUGCAAAUACUCUGCCAUCUUACAGGAGGGAUUGAGCGUCCUCAGACUCGGGGGUCCGUGGGGGCGCUGGAGUCAAACCCACAGACACCAGGGAAUGACUGAAGUCAUCAGGAGCCUAUGGAGCCACCUCCAGUUCUCCUGAUGGCUUUUCAGGUCCCCGUUGCUGCCUCCCUGAGCUUCCACUUGUCCUGCCUUGGAGUCCUGGACACUCUGGCCAAGAAACCUCCUUUUCUGCUGGCGCUGGUUUGAGGAGGUUUCUCUUGCUUGCAAUUUUAAAGAGAGAGAGAGAGAACCCAACCUACAACAAAGUAAGGGUGACCCCUGUGAUCAAGAGCACUGUCCCAGCAAUGGGGGUUACCUGCACCCAGCCCCUAGAAAGGUGCCCCCUCUUAUGCUAGGAGCACAGAAAUCCUGGUCCUUUGUGGAGGUUUGCUGGGAUAAGUGGACAAGGCCUAGUGCCCCUGAGGGCCAAAAGGGGAAGGACCCAGGUUAGUGGACAAUGGAAACAUCCUACGAGGAAGUCGUGGAAGAUAUUUUGCCUCACGAAUGGUACCUAAGAGUGGAGGAGGGGACCAGGCCACCAAGGCCCCUGGCACCCACAGAGCUCUGGGGGUCUGGUCUCUGGCCGCACAGCCCCCAGCAGCUGUGUCCCCACCUGCCUCCCACUGCAGGCCUCUGCCUCUCUCUGCCUGAGGUUUUCCCUGGCCAGGGGAUUGUGCUUGUUCAAGCCUGGGUAGGCUGGCAGUGCCAGGGAGGCAGAGCCCCGCCUGUCCAGAGGACAGUUGGAGCAUAAACACCCAGGUCCCAGGUCCCUGGAGCAGGAUGAUUCUGUGCCAUCUACCCAGUCUCCCAAGCUCGUGGGAGGGAGGGAGCCUCAGCUGCUGCAGGUCCACCCACCUGCAGGACACUCCCGGCCUCCAGCCUCACUCCUCCAACCUCCUGCCUCUGCCUCUUGGGAUCAUCUCCCCAGUGCCAGCCACACUCAGCCUUGUCUCAAGGUGUCCUUCUGAUGUAACUUCAUCAAAGAUGGGGACAGAAAGGAUGGGGUGUGUCGAGAGCCCCUUAAAUGUGAGAUUGCGAGGUGGAGGCUGGGUUUCAACAGAAGUGACCGGGAUCUGUGUGUCCAGAGCCUGGACUCUGGGGUUGGGCUGUCUGGACGGGUGUGAUGACCACCUGCUGGUGAAGUGGAGAACGUCGUGGCAGCGCUGGCCGGGCUGCCGUGAAGGUGGAGUGCCGCUCUCAGCACAUGGACCCACUCAGGGGCUCAGCCGAAGCUCUGCGCAUGGCCGAGUGGGGGCCGCGGAAGCCUCCUCCUGAGUUCCUCGGUCCAGAGCGUGGGGUUUGUCCAGGCAGCCCCACCGGAAACCUCCAAGUCACCCUGGACCCCAUCACAUCCCCCAAGGCCUCCAGUAGCCAGUCCCCUGCUGCGGCCCUCAGUGCUCCUCCCACCCACAGACAUGAUCUCCACGAGGACAGGGGCCUUGACCUUGUUCGUUGCUGAAUCUCCUCUAGCUAGGACAGCGUCCUUCACACUGUCGAGUGGAUGAAUGGACACAUGCCUGAGUUUCACUGUCACAAGUGGGCUGGGCUGAGAGCAGCCUUGGUCCACCCCAGGACACACACAAACCUCCCCACGGGGCGGAACUGCCCCGGCGUGACAGCCUUUGCCAACCUUCUCUUUGUGCAGCCUCUUCAUUUCAGAACCCAGGAGCUUUUGUGAGCAAAAGGCCUCCAGUGUGCGUGCCACCAGAACCCAAGGGCCACCACCCCUUCCCCAGGUGGAGUCCAAGCGCGGUCGCCUGCCUCAGCCGGAGACCGGAAUCCUGAAGUAAUCGGGAUCUGGUGCCACAGCACCCAACACCUCCGUGUGCACAGCACGAGCUUCAUUUUUGUUGAUGGGGUGGGAUGACAAUCAAGUUGCUACUAAUAAUAGUUGCUUAUUACAUAUAAAUUUUUAAUUAUUUUAAUUAUUAAUGAUGCUAUAAUACUCAUC